AUGUUGGGGGGCGGGAAGAUGAAGGGCGGGGACGCGGUUAGCGGCGGCGGCAGCAGCAACAUUAGCCCCAUGGUGUCCUUCCUGCUGGGCGCCGCCGUGGCCACCGUCUGCGUCCUCUUCUUCAUGUCCGCCAGCCCCGGCCGCAGCCUCGUCGACGUCGCCGCAUGGAGCCACAACAACGGCACCGCCGCCCAGCACCACCACCACCUGCGCUCCGUCGCCGACGACGCCGACGCCGCCCGCAACCUCUCCGUCGUCGUCGCCGCUCCGGCACCCGCCCCCGUCCAGGCGUCGCCGUACGGGGACCUGGAGGAGGUGCUGGCGCGGGCGGCGACGGCGGACCGGACGGUGAUCAUGACGCAGAUCAACGCGGCGUGGACCAAGCCGGGCUCGCUGCUGGACCUCUUCUUCGAGAGCUUCCGCACCGGGGAGGGCGGCGUGGCGCGCCUGCUCGACCACCUCGUCAUCGUCACCAUGGACCCGGCGGCGUACGCGGGGUGCCAGCUCGUGCACCCGCACUGCUACUUUCUCAGGACGACCGGCGUCGACUACCGCGGCGAGAAGUUCUUCAUGAGCAAGGACUACCUCGAGAUGAUGUGGGGCCGCAACAAGUUCCAGCAGACCAUCCUCCAGCUCGGAUACAACUUCCUCUUCACGGACGUGGACGUGAUGUGGUUCCGUGACCCGUUCAAGCACAUCUCCAUGGGGGCGGACAUCGCCAUCUCCAGCGACGUCUUCAUGGGGGACCCCUACAGCCUCGGCAACUUCCCCAACGGCGGCUUCCUCUUCGUGCGCUCCUGCAACAAGACCAUCGAGUUCUACCGCCACUGGCAGGCCGGCCGCUACCGCUUCUUCGGCAAGCACGAGCAGGACGUGUUCAACCUCAUCAAGCACGACAUGACGGACCGCCUCGGCGUCGCCAUCCAGUUCCUCGACACCACCUACAUCAGCGGCUUCUGUCAGCUCAGCAGGGACCUCAACAAGAUCUGCACCCUGCACGCCAACUGCUGCGUCGGGCUCGGGGCCAAGCUGCAUGAUUUGAGGAAUGUGCUGGACGUGUGGAGGAACUACACGGCGGCGCCGGUGCCCGACAAGAGGGCCGGCAAGUUCCAGUGGAAGGUGCCCGGGAUAUGCAUCCACUGA
rnacentral:rRNA from 1 species